rnacentral:rRNA from 1 species
AUGAACGCUAGCGACAGGCUUAACACAUGCAAGUCGAGGGGCAGCACAGGUAGCAAUACCGGGUGGCGACCGGCGCACGGGUGAGUAACGCGUAUGCAACUUACCUAUCAGAGGGGGAUAACCCGGCGAAAGUCGGACUAAUACCGCAUGAAGCAGGGGCCCCGCAUGGGGAUAUUUGCUAAAGAUUCAUCGCUGAUAGAUAGGCAUGCGUUCCAUUAGGCAGUUGGCGGGGUAACGGCCCACCAAACCGACGAUGGAUAGGGGUUCUGAGAGGAAGGUCCCCCACAUUGGUACUGAGACACGGACCAAACUCCUACGGGAGGCAGCAGUGAGGAAUAUUGGUCAAUGGCCGAGAGGCUGAACCAGCCAAGUCGCGUGAGGGAUGAAGGUUCUAUGGAUCGUAAACCUCUUUUAUAAGGGAAUAAAGUGCGGGACGUGUCCCGUUUUGUAUGUACCUUAUGAAUAAGGAUCGGCUAACUCCGUGCCAGCAGCCGCGGUAAUACGGAGGAUCCGAGCGUUAUCCGGAUUUAUUGGGUGUAAAGGGUGCGUAGACGGGAAGACAAGUUGGUUGUGAAAGCCCUCGGCUCAACUGAGGAACUGCAACCAAAACUAUCAUUCUUGAGUGCGGGAGAGGAAAGUGGAAUUCCUAGUGUAGCGGUGAAAUGCGUAGAUAUAUGGAGGAACACCAGUGGCGAAGGCGGCGGUCUGGGGUGCAGCUGACGCUCAGUCCCGAAAGCGUGGGGAGCAAAUAGGAUUAGAUACCCUAGUAGUCCACGCCGUAAACGAUGAGUGCUAGGUGUCGGGGAGGAAUCCUCGGUGCCGCAGCUAACGCAAUAAGCACUCCACCUGGGGAGUACGACCGCAAGGUUGAAACUCAAAGGAAUUGACGGGGGCCCGCACAAGCGGAGGAACAUGUGGUUUAAUUCGAUGAUACGCGAGGAACCUUACCCGGGUUUGAACGCAUUCGGACCGAGGUGGAAACACCUUUUCUAGCAAUAGCCGUUUGCGAGGUGCUGCAUGGUUGUCGUCAGCUCGUGCCGUGAGGUGUCGGCUUAAGUGCCAUAACGAGCGCAACCCUUGCCACUAGUUACUAACAGGUAAAGCUGAGGACUCUGGUGGGACUGCCAGCGUAAGCUGCGAGGAAGGCGGGGAUGACGUCAAAUCAACACGGCCCUUACAUCCGGGGCGACACACGUGUUACAAUGGCGUGGACAAAGGGAAGCCACCUGGCGACAGGGAGCGAAUCCCCAAACCACGUCUCAGUUCGGAUCGGAGUCUGCAACCCGACUCCGUGAAGCUGGAUUCGCUAGUAAUCGCGCAUCAGCCAUGGCGCGGUGAAUACGUUCCCGGGCCUUGUACACACCGCCCGUCAAGCCAUGGGAGCCGGGGGUACCUGAAGUCCGUAACCGCGAGGAUCGGCCUAGGGUAAAACUGGUGACUGGGGCU